UCUCCAAGGAAAGCUGUCUUCUUGGCUCUGAAAAUUGUUAUGUAUGGCAACUCUGGUCUGCGAUGAGGAACAAGUAAUGACAAAGGCAUGGUCAUAAGACUGAGGUGUGAAAUAACAAGAGUGAAUGUUGUAAAUAGAAGAAGAUGGAAAUGGAAUAGGAAGAAUGACAGCAAGAGCCUUGUAUUCAGGGAAGGAAGUAAGAACCAUUUUAGGAAUGGAGCUGAGCUACAGGAUUGACCUGGGAAGUUGCAGGGAAGUGAUUGCUUAUGAAAG
rnacentral:lncRNA from 1 species